rnacentral:rRNA from 1 species
UGGUCCUACGGGGGGCAGCAGUAAGGGAUAUUGGUCAAUGGGGGAAACCCUGAACCAGCAACGCCGCGUGAGGGAAGACGGUUUUCGGAUUGUAAACCUCUGUCCUCUGUGAAGAUGAUGACGGUAGCAGAGGAGGAAGCUCCGGCUAACUACGUGCCAGCAGCCGCGGUAAUACGUAGGGAGCGAGCGUUGUCCGGAUUUACUGGGUGUAAAGGGCGUGUAGGCGGGAGCGCAAGUCAGAUGUGAAAACUCAGGGCUCAACCCUGAGCCUGCAUU